rnacentral:lncRNA from 1 species
AGAAACUGUCAUUUGUUCCAUAUAUCUACCAGGUGCAGUCACGUUACUGCGGAAAAUGUAAAAGCCUAGUACGGCCGCAGCCGGGCUUCAAUUGCACUGGUUGCUGCGGGGUUUGAGCUACAUGCGUAAUUGCCGGGUUCAUAUACUCGGCAUAGGGUUCCUGAAAAGGGGAGUUAUGGCAGUAUUUGCGUGGGCAGUGGCUCCUGUGCAACAAACCGGCCAGACAAGUUUCCAGGCAUGUUUGCUUCUGGCUUCGUAUUAUUAACCGCGGGGUGUGUCAAGGCUGUGUCGGCUUCCUGGAAGCUGUAAAAAGGGCGUGGGUUCCUUUAUUCCGUACAGGUCCAUCGCUUAGCCAUACGUGCGCAAACUGCUGGGCUGUCUCGCUGUGCAGGGAGCGGUCGGGGAAGCCAACGCACUUUGCAAGAGCAGUCCGUAAGUCGACACGCGUUACAAGGGCAGUCAGCAAUGCCAACGCACCUUGCAAAAGGGAAGCCGUCCCACCUUGCAAGAUCGGCCAGGAAAGGCAGGCGGCCGUCGAAGGUCCUAAACUUUGCAUAGUUUUGCAAAGAAAUGAUGUCAUCUCGUUAGCGAAACGCUCGUGAAAUCGUGAAGCGCGAGGCCUUAAACCGCCGCAAUGGUCGCGGAGAGCUGGUUGCAUGUUCGAUUCGCAUGUGCCGUCAACUGCAUGUCUUUCGAUAAGAAACACGGUAUUGUAUUGAGGAAAUAUCGCGCGAGAAACGUUGAUAUGACCUUGGUCUCGGUCCAUGAAGACAGGCUCACGAGUUUGCCUGUCUUCAGACAGGCAAACUCGUUUGCACUCAUACGAUGUUUGUCAGCUACAGGAAAGAUACCAUAAAAUAGAGAUUAGGCAAGGUUAUACAGAAGGUAGGUGAGCUAUCAGACACACGGACACACGGACAUGGCGGGCGGGGCAGGCGGGGCCGCCGCCCCAAAGUCGGCAACUCAACGGAAAUGCACAAUUAUGAACCUGCCGCAUCGAGUGAGCUAUGUGCAAUAUUACAUGUCACGAUACCAUUAUUGGGGUACUUACGGCCUCACCGCUCACACCUUUGUGCUAAGGCAAAGUGCACAAAAGUUGAAGUACGUACGGAUGUUUAAAGAUAGCGUCCAGAUUCAUCGAGUAGUUUACGUCCUGUAUCUGCUGGAGGCCGCGUAAGUAAGCUUAUCGGCAUCUAUUGUUAGCAUUUGGCCGGAGUGUACGGCACAUUUCGUAAUGUUGCGGGAAGUACGGUAGUCACUAGACCUUAUUAAAUUAAGAAACGGUGUACUGAGUCAUGCUUUUAAACGUCUCGGCUCGCGCUGAUCCCUAUCAUGAUUGCAUGUCGGUGGCCAGGUGGUGGGUCGGGGGUUACUCACGCAUAUGAUGUGUGAAACAGGGGGAAUAUCUUCACCCGCGGCAGCUACCCUGCGAAA